AUUAUAUUGCAGUUGGUCGUACGUCAUACAACGCGUUUGGUGAAGGAGAUUGGGAGCAUCUGGAGCGUCCAAUUGAAUAACCCUCACCAAGCGACCAAGGUACACCAUCAGAUUGACCUCGUCCAUCCGCCAUCCGUGCCCAUUGAAAUCUAUGGCAACUAAAAAUUAUUACGGAAGUAUAUAUGCCUACAACUAAAAAUAGGGGAUAGUCAGCUCAAAAAAGAUUAGCAGAUCGCCACAAUCAUGGGAUUUUUUCCCUUCGCACGCUCUCCACUCUGCAUCUCUCGCCCCGACCCGCAGCCGUCCUCAUCAGUCACGCCACGGCUCAGAGACCCAAUCCCGUCCUCUCCAGCAAUCCCCUCUUCUUCCCUUCCAUGUCGCCUCUACCCUUCUGUAAGGGCACACCAUCACCACCCACCACCACUUGCCACCCUCAACACCCGACACCCCGGUACAGGUGGCCAAGUCCGGCACGGCGGGUGACGACCUUGGGCACGCGAGCAUGGUGCGGUGGGUGCUAGGCUCGGUGUCGUUGUUGGUCGACGUCAUCAGGUUCGCGGCAUAGAUGCUCCUGAAGCUGUGGCUCACGAGCAUGUAUCUGACAGUGGAUUCGUCAGCGGCGUCAGAUUCGUGCAGGAGGAAGUGUUGGCGCAUUCGACGCAAUGGACCGCCGCUGAGCCAUGGCGGCUCGAGGGCACCGUCGAGAUCCCCGUUGCCAUCUAUUGCAUCUGGAGGUGGUCGGGAUCGGGUGCCAGAGGGAAGAAGCAAUUGCUGAUGCCACCACUGCGGAACCGCUUCCUGACAUACUAUAUAUGCAGUCUCAUCGCUUGAUUUCUGUAAUUUAACAUAAAAAAUUGUGUGGACAUCCAGAUAUGCACUGAUGCAUCCUGGUGAUGAUAUAUUCCAUCGAAAACCAUUGUUGAGAUAGAGACAUAGUUUCAAGUCCAGGUAAUUUAUCAUGGAGAGGUUGCCGCCAAAGUGCUCAAGAAGCUAUGGAGUCUAGAAAGACACCAUGGAGUCAUCGCUUCCAAUACGGGUCUCUAUUUUGCUGUUUCCCAACUGGAGGCUACUCAGUACUCACCGAGGACACUAUACAGGGUACUCUUGUGGUGAAAUUUGACUAUAGAUAUCCAUCCAAUUAUUUGAUGUGAGAUACAUGGAUUAAAUGGGGAAAUGAUUAUGCGGGGUUAUGCAAAGGAAAUCUAUAGAAAGGCAAGGUUUUGGUUUUAUUUCCAGGUUAUUAUAUUUUCUACCACAGAUCUACUGUUACACACUGAUUAUUUCUGCACAGAUUUCUUAAAGAUAUUUCAUUGUUCUGGUUCUGAACUCAUUUCGUUGUGCUGUUUUUAUUUUAUUUUUGCUAGGGUCAAGGAAAACCCUCUAUGGCUGGUUUGCUAAACUUGAAUCGCUUGGUUGUGUAAUCAUGAUGUUGGCUAGAGAAUUUCAUCACUACCUUUUGAUAGCUUUGCAUCGUUCAGGCUCUAAUUUCAUUUACUAUGCUAUUAAGAUAUUUUUUGCAAAAUAAAGAAUACUUAAUGCUGACAUCCUAGAGAUUUAGUAAUCUAACUUCAUGUUGUUAGGACAUACAUAAUUGUCAUCUUAUUCCAGUUCUGUAUAUGCUUUCUCGUUAGAGAAAAUAAUUUUGAAUUGUUUUGCUUACCAUAUCUCUCUCACAUUUACAUCUCCUACUUUCAUGGAUUUUUGGCAUUCCGAUCAUACAAAUAUAGCUGUCCAAUCCCUCGAUCAUAAGUGUAAUUUGGUCCUCUUCAAGUAUAUUAUCCUGCGCUAAUCAAACUUUUUUACUUUGCG